CGACCGGCGCACGGGUGAGUAACGCGUAUGCAACCUGCCCGUUUCAGCGGGAUAACCCGGAGAAAUCCGGCCUAAUACCGCAUGUGGCCGAGGGGAGGCAUCUUCUUUCGGCCAAAGGAGGCGACUCCGGAGACGGAUGGGCAUGCGUGACAUUAGCUUGUUGGCGGGGUAACGGCCCACCAAGGCGACGAUGUCUAGGGGUUCUGAGAGGAAGGUCCCCCACACUGGUACUGAGACACGGACCAGACUCCUACGGAAGGCAGCAG
rnacentral:rRNA from 1 species